AACGAACGCUGGCGGCAGGCUUAACACAUGCAAGUCGAACGCGUGCAGCAAUGCACGAGUGGCGCACGGGUGAGUAACGAGUGGAUAUCUGCCUUUUGGUUCGGAAUAACCCCGGGAAACUGGGGCUAAUACCGGAUGGUUCCUACGGGAUAAAGAUUUAUCGCCAAAAGAUGAGUCCGCGUCCGAUUAGCUAGUUGGUGAGGUAAUGGCUCACCAAGGCGACGAUCGGUAGCUGGUCUGAGAGGACGAUCAGCCACACUGGGACUGAGACACGGCCCAGACUCCGACGGGAGGCAGCAGUGGGGAAUAUUGGACAAUGGGGGCAACCCUGAUCCAGCCAUGCCGCGUGAGUGAUGAAGGCCUUCGGGUUGUAAAGCUCUUUUGGCGGGGACGAUGAUGACGGUACCCGCAGAAUAAGCCCCGGCUAACUUCGUG
rnacentral:rRNA from 1 species